CCGGAAGUUGUACCUGUUGCGGGAUUCCGUAGUCUCACAAAACUUGGGUCACUGUCCUUCCCCUGUGCGUCUAUGGCGGAGUCUGAAGGCACCACAAGUACAGUCAGGAACUUGCUGAAUCCCCACGCCGCUGGACCAUUCACCCGGAUGACAUCAUCCUUGGCUCCCGGCGUGCCAACUCUGCUCAAUAAAGCCCAGGCGUGUUUUUUCGGGAGUGUGGGAGUGCCUCUGGUGCACUGAGACGAGAGGUGAUGACACCACAUCUAUUUGAAAAAAUGUGACGAUAACCACAGAACAACCGCUCUACACGUGCCUCUCUCCUGGCUGCUCAUUACAGUAUGGCUAAUGUGACAAAUGGCUUUGCAGAGUCUGAGUGGACGUGUGCAGCGUGUUGUCAACACAUGCACUAAUGGAUGUACUUGAUGAUGAUGAUGUUGUGGCGAUGCCGUAGCAGCACGGAAUGGUUUGUGGGUUACACUGAGAUGCAGGCCAUGCUGUGCUGCCACAGUAAAGCUUGAUCUGCUCGCCCGUCUCCAGGAUCAUUCUUCCAUCUGCCGCAAACAAGACGCUGACAGUACCUUCAGCAUCAGGUCACUUCACUGUAGCAGCACGUAAAUAUUGGAGUGGACUCUCUAAGCCGAAGCCUCCAGUAUUGAUCGUGCUGCUGAAGCAAAGCUGACCACUCACUUGCUAGAAACAACCAUGGUGGUGUUUGGUUUUAAUGUUGUCACAAAUAAACCUGUACUGAUGA